CACAGUGGUAAAGUAUCUCUGAAUUUAAUUCCCAGUAUUGCCAAACACACACACACACACACACACACACACACACACACACACACAAUGGAUACUGCUUUAUACCUUCAAGAAUAGCUAAAAUUAAGAGAAUGACAAUAUCAAAUUUUACGAGGAAUGUAGAAGGUUUGCAACUCUCAGACACUGCUAGUGGGAGUGUAAAGUGAGAUAACCACUUUGCAGAAACUUUAAAGAUGUCACUCUGCCCUUAUCUGAACGUUCAUGUCCUCCAAACUUAAUGUGUUGAAACCCUAACUCCCAAGGUAAUGGUAUCAGGAUAUGAGGCCAGUGGAGGUGAUCCCAUCCUAGGGCAGAGCCCCCAUAAAUAGGAUUACAGCCCUUAGAAAAGGAGCCUAAGACCCCUAGCCUUUCCCAGCCCUUACGCAUCCUGUGUCUACAGGUGUCUAGAUAUUGGACUGAGAAGGAACUGAGAAGUUUCCCAUUGUCUAUAAGCCACACACCUUAGAGCACUUUGUUAUAGUCCCUAGCCCCCCACCCAAGGAACCAAGACCACCUCCCUGUGGCUCAACAAUGCAGCCCUAGGAACUUACUCAGGAGUGAAAAUGGAAAUUAACAGAGGGUCAUUUGAAAAUGUCCAUAGCAAAGUUAUUCUAAUAGCCUCAAAACUGGGAACACCCCAAAUGUCAUCCAUGAGUACACAGAUUCGGAGUUGUCUUGUUAGUGUAGGACCACAAGGUAGUGCAGGCAUAGGCAGAGCUUAUGGUGGUGAGCCUCAGGACAGCAGUUGUCCCCAGUGGGGUGCUGACUGGAGCCUUGGGCCACUUGUUAGGGUUUAUGGCACCAUGGCACACGUUUGUCAGACUCAUAAAACCACAUACUGAAAGGUGGUUUUUGGUUUAUGCCAACAUUUUUUACAGAAUGACGUUAGAUGAAGCCUUACCAUUUGGUACUAUGCCCUUUUGUGUUCUGUUGUGGUACUAGGGCUCCAUCCCAGGGGUGCUCCACCACUGAGCUACACCUCCAGCCUUACUCUUUGGACACAACCUUGCUGAGCUGCUGAAGGGGCUGUAGCUGGAGAUCUCCCAGUUUCAGCCUGGGCGUGGCUAGGACCACAGGUGUGCAUCGACAUGCCCACUCUAACACCCUCUUUGUUUUCCCGUGGUAUAAAGUGGCCAGCUUUCCAAGAAAACCUCCUAGUGCCGGCAGCAGCAGGACAGCUCUCAGCCAGCACUGGCUUAGGGCGUGUGCUGCGUGGCUGGGCAGUGGUGCUGGGGGUAGGUGUGUUGAGUGCAUUUCCAACUUACCUUCAACUUACAGUAGUUCAUCGGGUAGCAGGUAACCCCACCCUAAGUUAGGGAGCAUGGUACCGUAAGCGUGGCUGUCCCCAACAUUUACCAUUCAGCCUUUGUGACAGCACCAGGCCUGGCCAACCAGGCCUGGCCGGAUCACCUGCUUUCUGGGUGAAUUUAGGUGACAAACGAUUCCUGUGGUGAAGCAGGAAUGAGUACCUGUCUUGGAAGUGAGGCAGCGUGUGCCAUGCCCUGGCCACAGAGCCUCUGUCCUGGGAAGCUAUCACUGCUGGAGCCCGGCUGCCAGCUUGUAUCUACACAAAGGCCUCUCAGUGGGGCAGAUGUCUCCCAGUCACCGAGGGUUCCUGGAGUGCGAGAGAACCAUGGAGAGAAUAAGCCACGGUGAAGAGAUGUCCUCUACAAGGAGCGGUGCCCAGCUCCUGGGCUGCUCCAUGCAACAGGAGAGCCAGGGUCUUGUGCUCACGCUUCACAACAGCUGUGCCUGAGAGCCGACAGUGGUCCUCCUCCCCAGAGCUGUGAAGCCUCCCUCAUCAGUUUUCUUACACUUGACCUGCCAUCGGCAAGACCAGUGUCUCAUUUCAGUCACUUGAGUUUGGGGUUUCUGACUGUACUGUCAUGAUGGGGUCCUGAUGGCACUGUCUUCUCACUCCCACCCAGUGCCACCUACGUGCAGUUAACAGAACGAGUCAGACGGUGGAGGUCGGGAUCCCUGGGUAAGCAGCUCUGCUGCUGGCCUCCAUCUACCAUGAGGCAGAAGUGAGAGGAUUUGUCCACCAGGUGGCGCUGGAUUCCUACGGCUGAGCAGAUGAAGCCUGGAAGAAUGGCAGCCUUGGAGGAGCGAUUUGAGCAUUUUUUGCAUUAGCUGGAUUUCUUACAUCUUGUGGUAAGACUGGCAGGCACACAGAGCCAAGGAAAUGACACACUGAAGCAGGGCCCAAAAUGCUAAGGUGGGUCCUGCAGGCGCUAGAGCACCUGUCCCACACAUGGAGGCCAAAGGAAGCGCUAUGCGGGUUGGAUGAAGAAUGAUUCAGAAAAACAACAGCUCUUUUCCUGAUUUUGGCAUGAACCCCCUUAUUCGAAAUGGAGACAGCAUCUCAAACAGCUCAGAGGAAGAGGCGUCAGGAGCUCCCUGCGCUGACUGGGGAAGGCAGCGGUGAAGUCCUGCCCAUGCUGCGCUGUCCUGCUGAUGUGUUACUGCUGUCACAACAGGAGCCAGAAGACCCCCACAUGGCAGAAGACCCCAGAAAGGAGACUGUCCUAGCCUUCGCAUCAGCACAGCCCGACUAUCACAGGAGGAGUUGAAGAAGUUGGCUGAUAGCAAAUGAUGCCUGAGAGAAUUCUCUGCACCUGCCCCUGUGACAACUCCCGAAGAUGGAGUGCAGAAGGAAUUUGAAUUUUGGAAAAGCCAACAUUCUACUGGAAAAGGCACCAAACUAGGACUCUGCCCUAGCAGCUGCCCCAUAUCAUCUCAUGUAGCGGCCAUGUGUGCGUGCCUAGAAAGUCUGCCAGCCUCUCGCUCAGGAAAACCUCGGGCAUAGUCAGUCAGCCUGAAAGGUGGUGGGCCUGGAUACCACCUUGGCCACACGGUGCCGGAGGUCCAGCUGCAGCUGCUGGUUCUGCUGAAGCAGGGUCUUCAUGUUGCUCUUCAGUUCCGACACUUUGGCUUGAAGCAUAAAUUUAUCCUUCUGGGUCAUGGACAGGUCUUCCUGCACCGUCUCCAACUCAGACUUGAUAUUCUAGAAAAGUAGAUUUGGAUUCAGAAAAGGGAAUGAUUAAACACUGCUAAGAUCUGUUUCUAUUGA